GACGAACGCUGGCGGCGUGCUUAACACAUGCAAGUCGAACGGAAAGGCCCUGCUUUUGUGUUUUUCUCGUUUGGCGAACGCGUGUGUAACACGUGUGUAUCCUGCCCUUGUCUUUGUGAUAACUUCAGGAAACUGCGGCUAUUACCCGAUAUGAUCUCCUGCUGCAUGUUGUUGGUUGGUAAGUUUCGGCGGUUGGGGAUGGUCUCGCUGCUUAUCAGCUUCUUGGUGGGGUAGUUGCUUACCAAGGCUUUGACGGGUAGCCGGCCUGGGAGGGUGACCAGGGACAAUGGGACUGAGGUAGGGAGCAGAAUGGAACGGGAGGCAGGGGUGGGGAAUAUGGCAGAAUGGGGGGAAGCGUGAUGGAGAAAAGCGGCGUGCGGGAAGACGGGCUACGGGUUGAAAACAGAUUUGGAAUGAGAAGAAGAGAGAGUGACGGUAAUGGGUAAAGAAGCACCGGCUAACUACGUG
rnacentral:rRNA from 1 species